AGAAUCAACGCUGGCGGCGUGCCUAACACAUGCAAGUCGCACGAGAAAGGGGAGCAAUCCCUGAGUAAAGUGGCGCACGGGUGAGUAACACGUGAAUGAUCUACCUCCGAGUGGGGAAUAACUGAAAGAAAUCUUAGCUAAUACCGCAUAACACUUACGAGUCAAAGCAGCAAUGCGCUUGGAGAGGAGUUCGCGGCCGAUUAGCUAGUUGGCGGGUAAUGGCCCACAAGGCGAUGAUCGGUAU
rnacentral:rRNA from 1 species